ACCCACGUCUGCUCUAUAGCGAUGAUGGGUGGGUCUGCGCUGCUCCUGGUCCCGUUCAUCGGUGAUACUGGCUGCGUGCGCGUCUCGUCGCCAUCGAGAUUCAUCAAUCCCAUCUGCCUGUGCGCCACACCCAUCCUUCUCGUCAAGCCUGCGCCCCCUCCGCAUCGUCUCCUCCCUGCUCCCUCCUCUCCCACGUCGCUGCCCUCGAGCCCGUGGCCCCUCUACCUCGUCUCCUCCACACUCCUCCUCUCCAACGCCACUGCCCAUGAUGUGCCGUCAGGGACGCCGUCGACACGCCAAGGACCAGGGUGACAGAUUGGAUCUAGGGCGCCCGCAUGGCCUCGCGAGCGCUACCGCCUGGAUUCGCUACCCGCCGCAUGGAGUCACCCUGGCCGCCGCAUCGAGUCACCUCCGUCGCCGCCGCCUCUAUCGUCGCGGCCAAUAAUCCCGUCCAGGCAAGAUGAUUGCAGUUGAUGCCGAUACUAUCGAGACCCGAGUGCCGAGAACGAGUGCCUCCUCCAUCUUCCCCUCCUCACCAAGGAGAUUUGUGCAGAUUUGAGAAAGAAGAGCAAUAAUCCAGCAGAAGAAUUUGGUGAAUAAGAACAACUUAGCAUUUCUCUCUUGUGAACACAGUCGUGCCUGCCUUUUGGUUUUAUUACCUACCAUUUCAAUCAUACUUGCGGGACGCUACACAAAUGAACCAGAUCUACACACUAUAUGUUGAAAAGAAGGUAAUUCUACUUGCCUCCCAGUAAUCUUUUCCUACAUGUAAACUGAUGAAUUGCCUGGAUUUUGUUUUUGGAGAAAUUCCUCAAAAUCAUGCGCGGAACACAAGGUACUCUAAUCGUUCCUUCUGUACUUGGUGAUCUUCUUUGCCAUUUAAUAGCUUCUUCGUGUUUCUAUAGGAUACGCCCAUGCUAUAUGACAACCAUAGUGAGCAUGUCAAAAGUUUAACAUGCUUAUUAUAAUUCUCUUCUCUGUAAAUUAUUAUAUGAAGUUUCUACUUUACUUGGUUUACUCUUCUGAAGCUCACAUGCUUUCCCUAAAGCUUGGUGCUGACAAUCAUAAAUCCAUUAUGGGCUCACUAUAUAAGAUAAUGAAUCUGUAUUCUAUAGACUAUUGUGGUAAAGAGGGUUUUGUCAGGUUACUCAUUCCCAUAGAUCGAACCUAUGUUUCUAACUUCUGGUCAUGAUAAAGAAAAUGGGGUUUAGCUCUUUUAGUCAACAUCUAUUUAAACCAACAAAAGAUCUUUAGUUCCACCAACAUACCAAUUUUGCUGGUACUCGUAUAUAUUAUAAUAUGCUGCUUCCAUAUUGUUUUCUCCCAGGAAUUGCAAGGCAUUCAGGUUCUCUUUAUAGCUUUCCUACAAAGGAACAUAUUGCAAAACUAAGAUACAUAAAAUUGUUCCUGACUUAUGAAAGACGGUUCUUCUACCUACAAGUCUGCCCCUUAUCUACAGAUGUGAUUAUAAAUGGCAUUAAGAAUGAGUAGAUCUGACUCGGGGAGGGCAUGGUUGAUGUAUGCAACCAUGGGAGUGUCAGCUUAGUCUGGUCCUCAUCAAACAAAGGCUCCUGGACUUGGCCAGCCAGAGUUAUGUGAAACAAGGUUUUUUAGGGAACUCCUUUUAAAGACAUGUGUAUACAGAACACAUGUUUCAUCGUAUUCUCUUUUUUUCACGAGUUGUUGAAAAGGUCUUAUGAAGCUUUAUUGAUAGUGUUUCAACUGAGAUGAAGUGUCUGGAUGAUAAGUUUUUGCAGAUCUUGGAGAUCGUUAUAUGUUCUGUACAAUGCACUGCACUGGAUUCAAAUAGUCUGGGAGUAUUGCAUGCCUUUGUAUUGUGUUCUUGAACCUUGCUAAGUUUCUCCAUGUCCAAGUCUUUUGUUCUAAGAAAAAACUCUUUUGUUGCAUCCACAUUAACCAUAUGUAUUUACAUUUCCAUGUUUGAAUUGUAAACUGUAGCUGCUUAAAACUUUGGUAUAAAAUAAAGCCCUUACUGGUAGAUGAGGCACGUUAUUAGCAAUGUUUCACAUUUUCUUACUUGCAAUACUAUGCUUGGCUGUUCAGGUCUUCCAAGACCUAAAUCAUCAGAAAUCUAGCACAUCAAACACCUUUUUUUAAACUUUAGUUACCCUGAUAUAAGCCUUCGUCCAAUUUUCUUAUACGGAGGGGUUAGAAAUAGUUACCUUGCUUGCUCAAAACUAAAUCUACUGAUAAAUGGAUUUUUUUUAAAACCACACAUGGUGUUUAGUGGAUCUCAUGGAUGGAUUGGGUUGUGGCAGCAGUUCUUGGGUGCAAUAUCUAUCUUGAUAAAGCGAUCAAUCAGGGCACAUUGGAGGCAGAAGAAGAGAAAACGUUUGGGGCAUCUGUGGUGUUGAACAUUCAGUGUUUAUGUGCUUUGUACAUGCACGGCCAGUUCAGUAACUAGACUUGUGCUGCUACUUUUCACAUGCUAGCUUAUUUGAAAAGCGCCAACAGUGUGUGCCACAUGUAAACAGUCCAUGUUGAAAGAAUAGAAGCAGAAGUGUAGAGAUAAUGUAAUUGGUCAGUCAGGAAAUUCAGUCUCAAUGAGCUCAACUAAUGACAUGUGUGAGUUGAGCCUGAGGUCAUUUUCAAAGUAACAAAAGUAUUUUACUUUCCUUUU